rnacentral:rRNA from 1 species
UACGUAGGUGGCAAGCGUUGUCCGGAUUUACUGGGCGUAAAGAGCUCGUAGGCGGUCUGUCGCGUCGGCUGUGAAAACCCGAGGCUCAACCUCGGGCCUGCAGUCGAUACGGGCAAACUAGAGUACUGCAGGGGAGACUGGAAUUCCUGGUGUAGCGGUGAAAUGACGCAGAUAUCAGGAGGAACACCGGUGGCGAAGGCGGGUCUCUGGGCAGUAACUGACGCUGAGGAGCGAAAGCGUGGGGAGCGAACAGG